AAACUGCGAAUGGCUCAUUAAAUCAGUUAUCGUUUAUUUGAUAGUACCUUACUACUUGGAUAACCGUGGUAAUUCUAGAGCUAAUACAUGCUAAAAACCUCGACUUCGGGAGGGGUGUAUUUAUUAGAUAAAAAACCAACGCCCUUCGGGGCUCCUUGGUGAAUCAUAAUAACUUAACGGAUCGCAUGGCCUUGCGCCGGCGACGGUUCAUUCAAAUUUCUGCCCUAUCAACUUUCGAUUGUAGGGUAUUGGCCUACAAUGGUAUCAACGGGUAACGGGGAAUUAGGGUUCGAUUCCGGAGAGGGAGCCUGAGAAACGGCUACCACAUCCAAGGAAGGCAGCAGGCGCGCAAAUUACCCAAUCCCGACACGGGGAGGUAGUGACAAUAAAUACUGAUACAGGGCUCUUUUGGGUCUUGUAAUUGGAAUGAGUACAAUUUAAAUCCCUUAACGAGGAACAAUUGGAGGGCAAGUCUGGUGCCAGCAGCCGCGGUAAUUCCAGCUCCAAUAGCGUAUAUUAAAGUUGUUGCAGUUAAAAAGCUCGUAGUUGAACCUUGGGCCUGGCUGGCCGGUCCGCCUCACCGCGUGCACUGGUCCGGCCGGGCCUUUCCUUCUGGAGAGCCGCAUGCCCUUCACUGGGUGUGUCGGGGAACCAGGACUUUUACUUUGAAAAAAUUAGAGUGUUCAAAGCAGGCCUUUGCUCGAAUACAUUAGCAUGGAAUAAUAGAAUAGGACGUGCGGUUCUAUUUUGUUGGUUUCUAGGACCGCCGUAAUGAUUAAUAGGGAUAGUCGGGGGCAUCAGUAUUCAAUUGUCAGAGGUGAAAUUCUUGGAUUUAUUGAAGACUAACUACUGCGAAAGCAUUUGCCAAGGAUGUUUUCAUUAAUCAGUGAACGAAAGUUAGGGGAUCGAAGACGAUCAGAUACCGUCGUAGUCUUAACCGUAAACUAUGCCGACUAGGGAUCGGGCGAUGUUAUUAUUUUGACUCGCUCGGCACCUUACGAGAAA
rnacentral:rRNA from 1 species